rnacentral:rRNA from 1 species
GAAUAUUGGACAAUGGGCGAAAGCCUGAUCCAGCCAUGCCGCGUGUGUGAAGAAGGUCUUCGGAUUGUAAAGCACUUUAAGUUGGGAGGAAGGGUAGUAACUUAAUACGUUGCUACUUUGACGUUACCGACAGAAUAAGAACCGGCUACUUUCGUCCCAGCAGCAGCGGUAAUACGAAGGGUGCAAGCGUUAAUCGGAAUUACUGGGCGUAAAGCGCGCGUAGGUGGUUUGUUAAGUUGAAUGUGAAAGCCCCGGGCUCAACCUGGGAACUGCAUCCAAAACUGGCAAGCUAGAGUAUGGCAGAGGGUGGUGGAAUUUCCUGUGUAGCGGUGAAAUGCGUAGAUAUAGGAAGGAACACCAGUGGCGAAGGCGACCACCUGGGCUAAUACUGACACUGAGGUGCGAAAGCGUGGGGAGCAAACAGG